rnacentral:rRNA from 1 species
AUUGAACGCUGGCGGCACGCCUUACACAUGCAAGUCGAACGGUAACAGGUCUUCGGAUGCUGACGAGUGGCGAACGGGUGAGUAAUACAUCGGAACGUGCCCGCUCGUGGGGGAUAACGAAGCGAAAGCUUUGCUAAUACCGCAUAAGAUCUAAGGAUGAAAGCAGGGGACCGCAAGGCCUUGCGCGAACGGAGCGGCCGAUGGCAGAUUAGGUAGUUGGUGGGAUAAAAGCUUACCAAGCCGACGAUCUGUAGCUGGUCUGAGAGGACGACCAGCCACACUGGGACUGAGACACGGCCCAGACUCCUACGGGAGGCAGCAGUGGGGAAUUUUGGACAAUGGGCGAAAGCCUGAUCCAGCCAUGCCGCGUGCAGGAUGAAGGCCUUCGGGUUGUAAACUGCUUUUGUACGGAACGAAAAGACUCUUUCUAAUAAAGAGGGUCCAUGACGGUACCGUAAGAAUAAGCACCGGCUAACUACGUGCCAGCCGCCGCAGUAACAC